UCCUGCAUAUUUCUAGUACAUGCACCUGCACAGGUUCGGGCCCUCUGCCCACGAAGAGUGAAUGAGACUGGGAGGGGUCAUUACAUGUUGCAAGCAAAGCCAUAAACACACACACCAGCCAGGUGCAAAAAGAGUUAAACUAGUUAGCUUAUUCCCUUGGGGAGAGUUUAAGCAGAAGUAGGAAAAUAACUUAAGUACCAAACUGUCAGACAAUGAAUGGGUCUGGAAUAAUGUGAAAAUUACUGCAACUGUCUGAGAGGCUGUGUAGUUGGUGUUGUUAUUAGUGGGGAGCUUUUUCCUCCUCAGAGCAAGAUACUAAAUGGAUGUCAUUUCUGGGCACUUACAUAAUUGGCUAAGGCUGGUCUCAGCGGAAAACAGCCGCUGAACCUGUCCACACACACACGUGGACCCACGGGACCACUUGGAAAUCGGACGCUCCUGGCCUGACACUGCAUUGUCUCCAGCAGAACGAGAAACACAGCAGAGAGGGAAUGGUCAACCCCAGAGCACUGGCCACUUUGGGAAAAUGGACAUCUCCUCUCCUCUGGCUGAAGGAAAGUAAGAAGACAUGGUGUUGCCCCAGGCUGUGUAGCCCACAACAAUUUUCCAUCCAAAUGCAUGAGCCCGGGUUCCCGAUGAAGACUUGGCUUCUCCUGAGCCCGGGGGUCCUGGCUGCUCUGGUGCCAACCCCUGGGUGUCUUCGAGCUGCAGAGGGCUUGCCACGUGCAUCCUCCUCCCUCUGCUUGAGCCACGGAGACCAGGCUGGACUAUGUUCCACAAAGACUUUUUCCCCUCAGGGGUCUCCUCCCAACAACACUUAACCAAGCUUUGUAUUCAACAAGGAACACAUUCCGCCUCCACCAAACCUCAUUGAAAACACAGAGGUGCAUGGAUAACCAUGGCCAAAUCAUAACUGGUAUGCGUGCUCAUGGUUUUCUUUGAAACUCUGUCUUUUAAAAAUCUUUCCCACAUGAAGAGCCACAAUAAAUGACAAAUACAAAUUUUAAGUUUAUAAGGAAAGUAUGCUAGUAAGUGUAAGCAAAUUAAAAGGAUGUCCCAUAGGGUGGUAACAACUGAUUCAGUGUUGUCAAAUGUUUUGGAUCCCCGUCGGUGGUAGGAAACAUACUUUGUGGCCUGCCUCAGUAGACUCAUGCAUAUGCACAAAGAUGAGUGAGGUGAAGCUCAUCUUUACUGUGACACACUUCAUUACAUCCUGUUCUGUUGAAAAGGAAUGGAUUGCUGUCAGGAUUCUGUCCC
rnacentral:lncRNA from 1 species